rnacentral:sRNA from 12 species
UCCUGUCUCGCAAAAAGUAGCCGAUUGUGGCUGCCUGCCCUCCAUCUAUAAGCGAUGGAAGGGAUAGCGAGGCGGGUUAUU